AAUGGUCAGGGCUGCUCUCAGUCUCUCACUGUGGCAAGGAAAGUAACUAAUACAGCUUCGAGUGCUUGCAACGUCAUGACAGCCAUUUGUGUGCUAGGUGGGAGCACAAGAGGACAACUCUUCACUACAGCAUGUGACCACACAUCCUAUGAAUCAUGAGCAAGAAACUCCAGACCCCAGAAGCCCAAACUUGGAAACAAUACAAGCUGUUUGUGGAAGCUGUAGAACAUACCCGGAUAUCCCCAUUUCACAGAUGAAGAAUCAGGGACUCAUCACCCUCCAAGGCCCUUCCACUCGCAGACUCCUUAGAGUUACAGAUGCCAUUGUAACUGUAACUCCCAUCAACUGACUUUACUUCCUCCAUGUUCUAACCUUUUAAAACAGCAUCUGUGUCCAAGCUCAAAAUCGUUGAGGCACCAAAGAAUAACACCAUCCCCUCCCCUCCCCUAAACCAGGCCCACCAAUUUCUCUCCAAAGUGCUUCACCUGUCUGUCCCCAUUCACUUGUUUGCUCUAGAUUCUGAGUUUGGUUAGGUCCCAUAUUCUAUUCAGAUUGUUAAAAUAGCAUUGUGGUUGGUCUCUCUGCUGCUAUUACCCACUUGGGACACUGUUUCCCCAAAGGAUGUAUGUAAAGUAUAACUCAGACAUGAAUAUUGUUGGCACACACAUACCAAAAAAAAAAAAAAAUCCUUUGGUGGCUUCUUUUGAGCCUUACUUCCUAUUUGUUCUCAGGGAGGCAUCCUUGGUGGAAGCCAAACCACCCAAUGGCAAUACAUUGCCUUCUUCAUUGUGAAGCUUUUCCUUCUCAACUCUUUGAAACACACUCCUCCUCUGAGACUCAGCUCAAAUCCCACCUCUUCCAUCACCUUUCUUGGUUCUCCUACUCAGAAUAGACUCCCCUUUCAUCUCUCUGCAGUGAUUACAUAAGGCAAGUACAAAUGAUGCCAAGGAAUGUCUAAGCCAUACAGCUGACACGGGGCAGCAGAGGCCUCUUCUGUGCCCCCACAUCUCCAUCAUUUCAUUUCAGUGUUCAUGAAGACUCUCUGCAAUAAUUACUUCCUGUCUUCACCACAAAGAGGCCAUCUUACCUAACAGAAAUGGCUUAAGAUUGCACGGCUCAUUUUUGUCCUAUGUGAAUUCUUUCUUCCAAUAAAUAUUU
rnacentral:lncRNA from 1 species